GUACGCCUCAAUCCUCCACACUCUUAACCCUUUACCCCUACCGAACAAUUCUAUACGUCUAUAGAACUUUUUAUGUUAAGACUAGUAGCAAGAAACCAAUUUUCUCUUAUAAUUUUAGUAUAAGCCAGCCUGAAUAAACCACUGGCACUUAAUAGUCAUGUCCCCUUUGUAGCAACCCCCUUAGAAAACCCUACUUUUCCCCCUAUUAAUCUUACACAAGCAAAACUCAAGAAAGAUUAAAAAAGAAGGAAGGAACUCGGCAAACCUCGAUUCCGCCUGUUUACCAAAAACAUCGCCUCCUGCCCAAAUAUAGGAGGUCCUGUCUGCCCAGUGACCCUGUUCAACGGCCGCGGUAUCCUAACCGCGCGAAGGUAGCGUAAUCACUUGUUUUUUAAAUAAAGACCUGUAUGAAAGACCACACGAGAAUCGUACUGUCUCCCCCCUCUAAUCAGCGAAACUAAUCUCCUCGUGAAAAAGCGAGAAUUCUUAUACAAGACGAGAAGACCCUGUGGAACUUUAAACAAACACAUCAAGUUUGUCACCCCUUACUAUGAUUGUUAGUUUUUGGCUGGGGCGACCUUGGAGCAUAAAAAAACCUCCGAGAUGAUAUGGAACUUUCCUAAACACAAGGCUACAACCUUAUGUAUCAACAAAUUGACUUUAUUGACCCUUAUUGAUCAACGAACCAAGCUACCCCAGGGAUAACAGCGCAAUCUGCCCCGAGAGUCCACAUUAACGGGCAGGCUUACGACCUCGAUGUUGGAUCAAGGUGUCCAAGUGGUGCAGCCGCUACUUAAGGUUCGUUUGUUCAACGAUUAAAACCUAACGUGAUCU
rnacentral:rRNA from 1 species